AUUGAACGCUGGCGGCAUGCCUUACACAUGCAAGUCGAACGGCAGCAUGGGUGCUUGUACCUGAUGGCGAGUGACGAGCGGGUGAUUAAUGCAUCGGAACGUACCAGGAAGUGCGGGAUAACGUAACGACAGUUACGCAACUACCUCAUAUUCCGUGAGAAGGAAAGGAGGGGAACGCAAGAACUCGAGCUUCAUGCGCGCCCUAUGUCGGAUUAGCUAGUUGGCGGGGUAAAGGCCCACCAAGGCAACGAUCCUGAGCUGGUCUGAGAGGAUGAUCCGCCACCCUGGGAAUGAGACACGGCCCAGACUCCUACGGGAGGCAGCAGUGGGGAAUUUUGGACAAUGGGGGAAACGCUGAUCCAGCCAUGCCGCGUGAGUGAAGAAGGCCUUCUGGUUGUAAAGCUCUUUCGGCCGGGAAGAAAUCGCACAGGUUAAUACCUAGUGUGGAUGACGGUACCGUAAUAAGAAGCACCGGCUAACUACGUGCCAGCAGCCGCCGUAAAAC
rnacentral:rRNA from 1 species